GUCUGCCACUCAGUGUGGACGCUUUGCUGCUGAAGAACACGUGGGUCGUUGAGCAUGUCACCAGCCCCUCUGAGCCUCACCUCCCUCAUUUGUAAACCACAGAGGUAGGAAGGAGUCAGACCAGCUGGUUUUACCUGGUCAUCUGUGCUUUGGAUUGCACUAAGCCUUUGGAAUCGGAGCCUGUUGAUUAAGUGGGGUUGACGGGUAAAGAAUGUUGGAGUAAAGGGACCCAGGCAGCUUGUGUCCUCUGGGUGCUAGGCGCUUUACAUGUACUUUAGUCAUUGCCCUCUCUCACCAUCCCCGGGAGUAGGUGGAAUUGACUCCAUCCUACAGAUGUGAAAAUCAAGGCGUGUGGAGGUUGAAGGACUUGCCCAAGAUCAUCCACCGGGGCAACGUUAAGGCUGGUAUUUAAACCUGGGCAGGUGAAUACACCGGGGGGCAGCACAUGGCAGGGUGAGGGUGGGUCUGGAUCUGGAAUUCUUGUCCUACCACCGCUUCCUUGCAUGCUCUUCUUUUCACUAGCAAUUGUGCACUGACUUUGAGAGAGACUUGCUUGCCCAGAUUAUUGGGGAUGGUCCAAUUUACUGUCUGACUACCGAAAAGCAGAGCAACUGUGUCUCAAAGGAACCUUGCCACGUUGUUUGGAACAGGUCUGUCAGUUCAUAGCUGAGAGAGUGCAGGUCCAGCAAAGUUAGGUGAUCUGUUCCAUGUCACUCUGUGAAAGCAAGAGAUGAAGACCCAGCCCCUGUCCUAGGUGUCUGAAGCUGUAUUUACCAUUAGUGAGGUUUUUAAAGCUUUCAUUCGGGAACUUUGAGAUGAGGUGAACUGAGUUAUUCUCACCUCCAGGCCCCUUUGAAGGGCCAGCAGACUAGACCCAUGGAACACAGGUCCGGCACUUGACAUUGUGGCGGGCGUCUGGGACAUGAAGGGCAGUAAGCAAGCUGGCGUUAGACCUGGCCGUUUUCCUGGAACAGGUUUAGUAUGUGAGCAGCGUUUAUGAGUGGUCUCACUCCCAAGUCAGUCAUGUUUCCCAGUGGAGGGGCUGAGACCCUGACCCUGUCCCUCAUGUGAGGCUGGCCUGUAAGAGCUCUUGCCACAUGGUUUCUGUUCUUUGUCUUUCCCACUCUGCUGCAUGUUUCUAAGGUGCGGCUCCCAGAAUGUUAAUCUUAACUAAUUAGUGGAUCUGUCUUGUGUGUGUGUGUCCGGGCUGGGUGGGGGGGUGCCAAUAUCAUAGAUGAAUGGCGAUAUACACCCAGAAACAAAAACCAUCCAGUAAUUAUUAAAAAGUGCUGGGUGAGUACUUGAUUCACUUCAUGAUCACUAUCACAUUUAAAAAAGUAUUAUUCUAACACCAGGCUUCACAUAUUCAAAAGAUUAUCCUAGGAAAGAGGAGGGCUUAUUAUUAUUGUACAGGUCUGGAGGAAAAAGCUAUAGCAGCUGGUGGCAGUUAGGAAGAGUACGCUGACCAGGAGCUGGUCGGGGGGCACAGUCCACCAUACUUGCCCUUUUUAUUGGAAGCGGGCAGAAAACCCCAGAGCUUUCUGCCCUGGCAAGGAGUCAGACUUCACAGCCUUUAAUGUCCCUUCUAAAUCUAAGAUUUCUUGAUCCUUUCUCAAGCCAAGAGUAACUGAGGGGAAGUCAGAGUACAUAAGGGCUGUGUCUUACUCAUUCUUUGGGUUCCAAAGCCAUACUACAGGCAGGAAAUUAUGCAUAGCCAAAAAUACCCUUGAAAAUAUUUUAACCAUCAAAAAUAUGCAUUAUACAUAGUGUUUGUGUAUGCAACCCUGAACAGCAAUUCCUGUAACCAGUGUGCAAAACACUGGCCUAGACUAAAGGGUAGAAAAAGAAAAUCGGUCUGUGUUUUCCUCCUGUUCUGUCUUUAAGGUAACUGUCAAGCCAUAAGCUGGUACAG
rnacentral:lncRNA from 1 species